GACGAACGCUGGCGGCGUGCUUAACACAUGCAAGUCGAACGGAAAGGCCUGCUUUCCCUUGUGGAUUGCGGGUACUCGAGUGGCGAACGGGUGAGUAACACGUGAGUGAUCUGCCCCCAACUUGGGUAUAAGCCUGUGAAACUGGGUCUAAUUCCCGAUAGGACUGCAGGGUGGUGCCUGUGGUGGAAAACGAUUUUCUAGUGGUUGGGGAUGAGCUCGCGGCCUAUCAGCUUGUUGGUGGGGGAAUGGCCUACCAAGGCGGCGACGGGUAGCCGGCCUGGGAGGGUGGACGGCCACAGUGGGACUGAGAUACGGCCCAGACUCCUACGGGAGGCAGCAGUGGGGAAUAUUGCACCAUGGGCGGAAGCCUGAGGCAGCGACGCCGCGUGGGGGAUGACGGCCUUCGGGUUGUAAACUCCUUUCGACCGCGAGGAAGCCACCUGGCUGGAAGGGUGGUGACGGUAGUGGUAGAAGAAGCACCGGCUAACUACGUG
rnacentral:rRNA from 1 species